GUCUUUAUGAAUUUCAUAUAAAGUCUGGCCUGCCCAAUGAUGUAGAGUUUAAUGGCCGCGGUAUAUUGACCGUGCGAAGGUAGCAUAAUAAUUAGUCUUUUAAUUGAGGACUAGAAUGAAAGGUUGAACAAGAAGUUAACUGUCUCUAAAUUAAAUCUUGAAUUUAACAUUUAAGUGAAAAGGCUUAAAUACUUUAGGGGGACGAUAAGACCCUAUGAAUCUUUAUAUUUGAGUUUAUAAAAUAAAAUAUUAAAUAUAUCUUUUGUUUAAUAAGUUUAAAUAUUUUGUUGGGGCGACAGAAGUAUAAAAUGUAACUGCUUUAAAAUAAUAGUUAAUUGAUGUUUAGUUAUGUGAUCCUUUAUUAAAGAUAUUAGUUUAAGUUACUUUAGGGAUAACAGCGUAAUUUUUUUUGAGAGUUCGUAUCGAAAAAAAAGUUUGCGACCUCGAUGUUGAAUUAAAGAUCCUUUAUGGUGCAGAAGUUAUAGAAGGAGGUCUGUUCGACCUUUAAAUCUUUACAUGAUUUGAGUUCAGACCGGCGUAAG
rnacentral:rRNA from 1 species